GGCUUAGAGUUUGAUCAUGGCUCAGGAUGAACGCUGGCGGCGUGCCUAACACAUGCAAGUCGAACGAAGCGCCUUAAGAGAUUCUUCGGAUGAUCUUUUGGUGACUGAGUGGCGGACGGGUGAGUAACGCGUGGGUAACCUGCCCUGUACAGGGGGAUAACAGCCAGAAAUGGCUGCUAUACCGCAUAAGCGCACAGGAAGACAUCUUCCAGUGUGAAAAACUCCGGUGGUACAGGAUGGGCCCGCGUCUGAUUAGCUGGUUGGCGGGGUAAUGGCCCACCAAGGCAACGAUCAGUAGCCGGUCUGAGAGGAUGAACGGCCACAUUGGAACUGAGACACGGUCCAAACUCCUACGGGAGGCAGCAGUGGGGAAUAUUGCACAAUGGGGGAAACCCUGUUGCAGCAACGCCGCGUGAGUGAAGAAGUAUUUCGGUAUGUAAAGCUCUAUCAGCAGGGAAGAUAAUGACGGUACCUGACUAAGAAGCUCCGGCUAAAUACGUGCCAGCAGCCGCGGUAAUACGUAUGGAGCAAGCGUUAUCCGGAUUUACUGGGUGUAAAGGGUGCGUAGGCGGCAGAGCAAGUCAGAUGUGAAAGACCGGGGCUCAACCCCGGGGCUGCAUUUGAAACUGUUUUGCUGGAGUCCGGGAGAGGCAGGCG
rnacentral:rRNA from 1 species